rnacentral:rRNA from 1 species
CACGUAGGGUGCGAGCGUUGUCCGGAAUUAUUGGGCGUAAAGAGCUCGUAGGCGGUGUGUCGCGUCGGCCGUGAAAACCUGCAGCUUAACUGUGGGCUUGCGGUCGAUACGGGCAUCACUGGAGUUCGGCAGGGGAGACUGGAAUUCCUGGUGUGGCGGUGAAAUGCGCAGAUAUCAGGAGGAACACCGGUGGCGAAGGCGGGUCUCUGGGCCGAUACUGACGCUGAGGAGCGAAAGCGUGGGGAGCAAACAGG